ensembl:snRNA U6 U6 spliceosomal RNA
GUGCUCUCUUCCGUGACAGCACAUAUACUAAAAUUGGAACAAUACUGAGAAAAUUGGCAUGGCCCCUUCGCAAGGAUGACACUCAAAUUCUUGAGCAUUCCAUAUUUUG